GAUGAACGCUGGCGGCGUGCCUAAUACAUGCAAGUCGAGCGAACGGACGAGAAGCUUGCUUCUCUGAUGUUAGCGGCGGACGGGUGAGUAACACGUGGAUAACCUACCUAUAAGACUGGGAUAACUUCGGGAAACCGGAGCUAAUACCGGAUAAUAUUUUGAACCGCAUGGUUCAAAAGUGAAAGACGGUCUUGCUGUCACUUAUAGAUGGAUCCGCGCUGCAUUAGCUAGUUGGUAAGGUAACGGCUUACCAAGGCAACGAUGCAUAGCCGACCUGAGAGGGUGAUCGGCCACACUGGAACUGAGACACGGUCCAGACUCCUACGGGAGGCAGCAGUAGGGAAUCUUCCGCAAUGGGCGAAAGCCUGACGGAGCAACGCCGCGUGAGUGAUGAAGGUCUUCGGAUCGUAAAACUCUGUUAUUAGGGAAGAACAUAUGUGUAAGUACCUGUGCACAUCUUGACGGUACCUAAUCAGAAAGCCGCGGCUAACUACGUGCCAGCAGCCGCGGUAAUACGUAGGUGGCAAGCGUUAUCCGGAAUUAUUGGGCGUAAAGCGCGCGUAGGCGGUUUUUUAAGUCUGAUGUGAAAGCCCACGGCUCAACCGUGGAGGGUCAUUGGAAACUGGAAAACUUGAGUGCAGAAGAGGAAAGUGGAAUUCCAUGUGUAGCGGUGAAAUGCGCAGAGAUAUGGAGGAACACCAGUGGCGAAGGCGACUUUCUGGUCUGUAACUGACGCUGAUGUGCGAAAGCGUGGGGAUCAAACAGGAUUAGAUACCCUGGUAGUCCACGCCGUAAACGAUGAGUGCUAAGUGUUAGGGGGUUUCCGCCCCUUAGUGCUGCAGCUAACGCAUUAAGCACUCCGCCUGGGGAGUACGACCGCAAGGUUGAAACUCAAAGGAAUUGACGGGGACCCGCACAAGCGGUGGAGCAUGUGGUUUAAUUCGAAGCAACGCGAAGAACCUUACCAAAUCUUGACAUCCUCUGACAACUCUAGAGAUAGAGCCUUCCCCUUCGGGGGACAAAGUGACAGGUGGUGCAUGGUUGUCGUCAGCUCGUGUCGUGAGAUGUUGGGUUAAGUCCCGCAACGAGCGCAACCCUUAAGCUUAGUUGCCAUCAUUAAGUUGGGCACUCUAAGUUGACUGCCGGUGACAAACCGGAGGAAGGUGGGGAUGACGUCAAAUCAUCAUGCCCCUUAUGAUUUGGGCUACACACGUGCUACAAUGGACAAUACAAAGGGCAGCGAAACCGCGAGGUCAAGCAAAUCCCAUAAAGUUGUUCUCAGUUCGGAUUGUAGUCUGCAACUCGACUACAUGAAGCUGGAAUCGCUAGUAAUCGUAGAUCAGCAUGCUACGGUGAAUACGUUCCCGGGUCU
rnacentral:rRNA from 1 species